rnacentral:rRNA from 1 species
GACGAACGCUGGCGGCGUGCUUAACACAUGCAAGUCGAACGGAAAGGCCCUGCUUUUGUGGGGUGCUCGAGUGGCGAACGGGUGAGUAACACGUGAGUAACCUGCCCUUGACUUUGGGAUAACUUCAGGAAACUGGGGCUAAUACCGGAUAGGAGCUCCUGCUGCAUGGUGGGGGUUGGAAAGUUUCGGCGGUUGGGGAUGGACACGCGGCUUAGCAGCCUGUGGGUGGGGUAGUGGCUACCAAGGCUUUGACGGGUAGCCGGCCUGAGAGGGGGACCGGCCACAUUGGGACUGAGAUGCGGCCCAGACGCCUACGGGAGGCAGCAGUGGGGAAUAUUGCACAAUGGGCGGAAGCCUGAUGCAGCAACGCCGCGUGCGGGAUGACGGCCUUCGGGUUGUAGACCGCUUUCGCCUGUGACGAAGCGUGAGUGACGGUAAUGGGUAAAGAAGCACCGGCUAACUACGUG